rnacentral:misc_RNA from 1 species
UUUCCGUAGGUGAACCUGCGGAAGGAUCAUUGUCGAGCCCCGCGAGAGCAGAACGACCCGCGAACCAGUAAAAAACCCACGUCGCGGGGGGCGUGCGGCCGCGGCCUCCUGCGACGAACAACAAACACCGGCGCAGGACGCGCCAAGGAAAACAAAACGAACGAGCGCGCCCCCGACCCAAACGAACGGGGCCCCGCCUCUUUCACUGACGCAAAAACGACUCUCGGCAACGGAUAUCUCGGCUCUCGCAUCGAUGAAGAACGCAGC